rnacentral:rRNA from 1 species
AGCGAACGCUGGCGGCAGGCCUAACACAUGCAAGUCGAACGAACCUUUCGGGGUUAGUGGCGGACGGGUGAGUAACACGUGGGAACGUGCCUUUAGGUUCGGAAUAACUCAGGGAAACUUGUGCUAAUACCGAAUGUGCCCUUCGGGGGAAAGAUUUAUCGCCUUUAGAGCGGCCCGCGUCUGAUUAGCUAGUUGGUUGAGGUAAUGGCUCACCAAGGCGACGAUCAGUAGCUGGUCUGAGAGGAUGAUCAGCCACAUUGGGACUGAGACACGGCCCAAACUCCUACGGGAAGCAGCAGUGGGGAAUCUUGCGCAAUGGGCGAAAGCCUCACGCAGCCAUGCCGCGUGAAUGAUGAAGGUCUUAGGAUUGUAAAAUUCUUUCACCGGGGACGAUAAUGACGGUACCCGGAGAAGAAGCCCCGGCUAACUUCGUG